UUGGCAAUAGCUCAGUGGUAGAGCUCCCGCUUCGUAUUCGGGAAGACCUAGGUUCCAUCCCCUGCUGCUUAC
rnacentral:tRNA from 1 species